rnacentral:rRNA from 1 species
AGAGUUUGAUCAUGGCUCAGAACGAACGUUAGCGGCGCGCUUAACACAUGCAAGUCGAGCGAGAAAGGGCUUCGGCCCCGGUAAAGCGGCGCACGGGUGAGUAACACGUAGGUAAUCUGCCCCUCGGUGGUGGAUAACCUUCCGAAAGGAGGGCUAAUACAGCAUGAGACCACGCUUUCGAAAGAGGGUGAGGUCAAAGCGGGCCACUAUUUAUAAGCUCGCGCCUUGAGAUGAGCCUGCGGCCCAUCAUGGUAGUUGGUAGGGUAACGGCCUACCAAGCCGAAGACGGGUAGCUGGUCUGAGAGGAUGAUCAGCCACACUGGAACUGAGACACGGUCCAGACUCCUACGGGAGGCAGCAGUGGGGAAUCUUGCGCAAUGGGCGAAAGCCUGACGCAGCGACGCCGCGUGAGUGAUGAAGGCCUUCGGGUUGUAAAGCUCUGUGGAGGGGGACGAAUAAGGGUUGGCUAACAUCCAGCUCGAUGACGGUACCCCUUUAGCAAGCACCGGCUAACUCUGUGCCAGCCGCCGCGGUAAUAC